rnacentral:lncRNA from 1 species
UACUAAUGAACAGAUCAAAUUCAACCACAUAUAUAACCCAAAAACAACACCAGCCAUAAACAUAUCAAAAUAUCAAAGUUACUUGCAUUUGCAUCUUAUACACAUAAUGGAACGCCCUAUCCACAUUAUUCACUUUCUUUUCCAUCAAACACCUCUGUUCACGUUCCCCUGCAAACAGUUAUGAAAGAAGGGUUAGGUGUAGGUGUAGGUUUUUGUAAUAUGGAGAAAAAACAAUCAGUCUACUUAAAUUCUUAAGCUUAAGAAGUCUCUUAAGAAAGUUUCUCAACCAAAGUUGCUUUCAGUUCAGGAAAUUUGAAAUGUAGAACUCUCCUUCAAUCUAUACGAGGCAUAAUGCAUGUGAAAUGUAUUUGUUAUUUAUUGGGUAUAUUUUUUUAGUAAACACCCCAAUUGACCCUCAAACAAUUUCUUCAGAUUAGGCACUUUGAUCUCCAAUAAAUUUUUAUUCUUUAAAAAUUCUGAAAAUUACUUGUGUGAAUUUCAUCUUCCUUUAUUUUUAGCAGAAUCGACACCGAUCAUCUACAGAAGGCAUACAAACAGACCUAUGUUCUUCACAUUCAAUUUUAUCUUCUCCCAAGAUUGUUGCAUGGUCAAUUCAACAAGGAAAUCAAUAAAAUUUGGGUUGUGUAACCUUAUAGUUAUUCUUACUUCUGCCAAAAUUUCUCAACCCCAAAACAGGGGCUAAAUCAAUGACAAAACAUCUAAUUAAGAACGAUAAAGCAUUAAAACAAAUUGGAGUAUUGGACCAUAGCAUCUCCAACCUCGAAUUAGUAGCAGAACUUAGAAGCAAAAAAUUACUAAUUUCAUAUAUUAAAAAAAAGUAAGUAAACUGUUACAAAAUUCUCUUCCAAUAACACCAUCCUAAAUCAAAAUGCAAGGUAAUAUAGAAAUCCUCAUGGUAAGGAACAAAUAGAAGUACAUAUUACAAAAGUUUGCUACUUUUUCUUGAGAAACUCAUCGGGAACAACCUUAAGCUGCUUCCUCUGCUUAGAAUUGGCAAUUCUCUUUAACGUAUUAGGGUUCGUAAUCUUCUGAAAUUUGGUACCAGAUCUCAAAAUAUUCUCCUGCUUCUUCUUCUCUCUCUCUUCCCUCUUCUUCCUCUUCUCAACCUUGUUCAC